rnacentral:rRNA from 1 species
UGGGAAGUAUUGGACAAUGGGCGCAAGCCUGAUCCAGCCAUGCCGCGUGAGUGAUGAAGGCCUUAGGGUUGUAAAGCUCUUUUAUCCGGGACGAUAAUGACGGUACCGGAGGAAUAAGCCCGCAGCUUACUGUGCCAGCAGCCGCGGUAAUACGAAGGGGCGGUAGCGUUGCUCGGAAUCACUGGGCGUAAAGGGCGCGUAGGCGGCGUUUUAAGUCGGGGUGAAAGCCUGUGGCUCAACCACAGAAUGGCCUUCGAUACUGGGACGCUUGAGUAUGGUAGAGGUUGGUGGAACUGCGAGUGUAGAGGUGAAAUUCGUAGAUAUUCGCAAGAACACCGGUGGCGAAGGCGGCCAACUGGACCAUUUACUGACGCUGAGGCGCGAAAGCGUGGGGAGCAAAACA